rnacentral:rRNA from 1 species
AGCGAACGCUGGCGGCAGGCUUAACACAUGCAAGUCGAGCGGGCCCUUCGGGGUCAGCGGCGGACGGGUGAGUAACGCGUGGGAACGUGCCUUCUGGUCUGGAAUAACCCUGGGAAACUAGGGGUAAUACCGGAUACGUCCUUUUGGGUCAAGGUUUACUGCCGGAAGAGCGGCCCGCGUCUGAUUAGGUAGUUGGUGGGGUAACGGCCUACCAAGGCGGCGAUCAGUAGCUGGUCUGUGAGGAUGAACAGCCACAGUGGGACUGAGACACGGCCCAGGCUCCUACGGGAGGCAGCAGUGGGGGAUAUUAGACAAUGGGCGCAAGCCUGAUCCAGCCAUGCCGCGUGAGUGAUGAAGGCCUUAGGGUUGUAAAGCUCUUUUAUCCGGGACGAUAAUGACAGUACCGGAGGAAUAAGCCCCGGCUAACUUCGUGCCAGCCGCCGCCGUAA